CAGUAGCCGCGGGAAUACGUAGGGUGCAAGCGUUAAUCGGAAUUACUAGGCGUAAAGCGUGCGCAGGCGGUUAUAUAAGUCAGAUGUGAAAUCCCCGGGCUCAACCUGGGAACUGCAUUUGAGACUGUAUGGCUAGAGUGUGUCAGAGGGGGGUAGAACUCCACGUGUAGUAGUGAAAUGCGUAGAUAUGUGGAGGAAUACCGAUGGCGAAGACAGCCCCCUGGGAUAACACUGACGCUCAUGCACGAAAGCGUGGGGAGCAAACAGGAUUAGAUACCCCAGUAGUCCCUGUCUCUUAUAC
rnacentral:rRNA from 1 species